UACAGAGGGUGCGAGCGUUAAUCGGAAUUACUGGGCGUAAAGCGCACGUAGGUGGCGACGUAAGUCGGGUGUGAAAGCCCCGGGCUCGACCUGGGAAUUGCAUUCGAGACUGCAUUGCUGGAGUACGGAAGAGGAAGGCGGAAUUCCCGGUGUAGCGGUGAAAUGCGUAGAUAUCGGGAGGAACAUCAGUGGCGAAGGCGGCCUUCUGGUCCAGUACUGACACUCAAGUGCGAAAGCGUGGGGAGCAAACAGG
rnacentral:rRNA from 1 species